CUAUUCCUACGGGGGGCAGCAGUGGGGGAUAUUGCACAAUGGGGGAAACCCUGAUGCAGCGACGCCGCGUGAGUGAAGAAGUAUUUCGGUAUGUAAAGCUCUAUCAGCAGGGAAGAAAAAAGACGGUACCUGACUAAGAAGCCCCGGCUAACUACGUGUCAGCAGCCGCGGUAAUACGUAGGGGGCAAGCGUUAUCCGGAUUUACUGGGUGUAAAGGGGGCGCAGACGGCGAUGCAAGCCAGGAGUGAAAGCCCGGGGCCCAACCCCGGGACUGCUCUUGGAACUGCGUGGCUAGAGUGCAGGAG
rnacentral:rRNA from 1 species